rnacentral:rRNA from 1 species
UGUGGAAGCAUAGUGAUAUGUGAAGCUGAACCAAUACUAAUUGCUCGUGAGGCUUGACUAUACAACACCCA